AAGGGUGAAAUUGAUUACUUUAAUUAAAACAGAAGACUUAAAUUGAGGCUGGGAACUCUUAGGUUUAAACUAGGAUUAGAUACCCUAUUAUUCUAAGAUCCAAAAAAUUACCAGAAUAUUAAAAGGUAUAUGCUUAAAAUUUAAAGAAUUUGGCGGCAGCUUAGUCUAGUUAGAGGAACCUGUUUUAGAAUUGAUAAACCUCGCAAUAUCUUACUUGGGUUUGUAUAUCGUCAUUAUUAGAUAACUUUUAUAGAAGUAGUUAUUUAAAAUAAGUGUUUAGGUAAAUUAGAUCAAGGUGCAGCUUAUGGACAAGUUAAAAUGGGUUACAAUAAUAUUCAUUUAUUAUGAAUUAAGUGUUAUGAAGGAGGAUUUAAUUGUAUAGGGGUUUAAUAUGCCUAAGAGAUAUAAGUUCUAAGUUGUGUACAUAUCGCCCGUCGCUUUC
rnacentral:rRNA from 1 species